rnacentral:rRNA from 1 species
UACGUAGGGGGCUAGCGUUGUCCGGAAUCAUUGGGCGUAAAGAGCGUGUAGGCGGCCAGACAGGUCCGUUGUGAAAACUCGAGGCUCAACCUCGAGACGCCGAUGGAAACCGUCUGGCUAGAGUCCGGAAGAGGAGAGUGGAAUUCCUGGUGUAGCGGUGAAAUGCGCAGAUAUCAGGAAGAACACCCGUGGCUAAGGCGGCUCUCUAGUACGGUACUGACGCUGAGACGCGAAAGCGUGGGGAGCGAACAGG